rnacentral:rRNA from 1 species
GUCUAUGGCCAUGCCACCCUGAGCAAGCCCGAUCCCGUCUGAUCUCGGAAGCUAAGCAGGGUCGGGCCUGAUUAGUGUUUGGAUGGGAGAUCACCUAGGAAGAUCAGGGUCUGUAGGUG